rnacentral:ncRNA from 2 species
GGUCAUGAGUAUCAGCGCCAAGCCCCGGCUCGCUGAUCGGCAACCCUCCAACCGCGGUGGGGUGCUCCGGGUGAAAGACCAGGUUGUGGGCGUUCGCCGAAGGCGACGCUCCGCAGCAAGCGCGGGUC